ensembl:lincRNA
GGAAAAUAAACCACAGUCAUGGAGCUGGGAGGGACAUAAAAGUUCAUGUAACAUGUGAUGGAACAGAGGCACUGAAAAGCCGAAUAAUGUCUCCAAUAAAACACAGAAUCACAAUGUGAGAAACAGGAUUAGAACCCAGUCUUCAAGUGUCCCACAGUGAAACAUGGACCACUGGAAUCACACAGCAGAAGCAGCCCUCACAAGCUGGACUUAGGAGGCCAGGAGAAUCGCGGGUUGUGACUGCUUCCUGAGCAUCUUCCAGUCAGAUGUGCUUGUUUCUGGGAUGUCUGUAAGAAUCUGCCGUCAGAAGCCACAAUCCAGAAUUUACAGUUCAAAGUAUCAGAUGGUUAAAGGAUAACUUCCAAAGAAGAUUGUAAAUUAUUGGAGAGACUUCGUUAUAAGAGGAAGUUUUAUGAGAAAUGGUGCUGGAGGAAUUGUUUAACACUGAAAUCGGUUUUCAACUGUUCUUAAUUUAUCAUUUAUAUUGUGCUUAAUUCCAAAAAGGAUCAGAGGUUGAGUACAAUAAAGAACACCGAUUUAAAAGGCCC